rnacentral:rRNA from 1 species
CGGGACACGUGGUAUCCUGUCUGAAUAUGGGGGGACCAUCCUCCAAGGCUAAAUACUCCUGACUGACCGAUAGUGAACCAGUACCGUGAGGGAAAGGCGAAAAGAACCCCGGCGAGGGGAGUGAAAAAGAACCUGAAACCGUGUACGUACAAGCAGUGGGAGCACGCUUAGGCGUGUGACUGCGUACCUUUUGUAUAAUGGGUCAGCGACUUAUAUUCUGUAGCAAGGUUAACCGAAUAGGGGAGCCGAAGGGAAACCGAGUCUUAACUGGGCGUUAAGUUGCAGGGUAUAGACCCGAAACCCGGUGAUCUAGCCAUGGGCAGGUUGAAGGUUGGGUAACACUAACUGGAGGACCGAACCGACUAAUGUUGAAAAAUUAGCGGAUGACUUGUGGCUGGGGGUGAAAGGCCAAUCAAACCGGGAGAUAGCUGGUUCUCCCCGAAAGCUAUUUAGGUAGCGCCUCGUGAAUUCAUCUCCGGGGGUAGAGCACUGUUUCGGCAAGGGGGUCAUCCCGACUUACCAACCCGAUGCAAACUGCGAAUACCGGAGAAUGUUAUCACGGGAGACACACGGCGGGUGCUAACGUCCGUCGUGAAGAGGGAAACAACCCAGACCGCCAGCUAAGGUCCCAAAGUCAUGGUUAAGUGGGAAACGAUGUGGGAAGGCCCAGACAGCCAGGAUGUUGGCUUAGAAGCAGCCAUCAUUUAAAGAAAGCGUAAUAGCUCACUGGUCGAGUCGGCCUGCGCGGAAGAUGUAACGGGGCUAAACCAUGCACCGAAGCUGCGGCAGCGACGCUGAUGCGUUGUUGGGUAGGGGAGCGUUCUGUAAGCCUGUGAAGGUGUGCUGUGAGGCAUGCUGGAGGUAUCAGAAGUGCGAAUGCUGACAUAAGUAACGAUAAAGCGGGUGAAAAGCCCGCUCGCCGGAAGACCAAGGGUUCCUGUCCAACGUUAAUCGGGGCAGGGUGAGUCGACCCCUAAGGCGAGGCCGAAAGGCGUAGUCGAUGGGAAACAGGUUAAUAUUCCUGUACUUGGUGUUACUGCGAAGGGGGGACGGAGAAGGCUAUGUUGGCCGGGCGACGGUUGUCCCGGUUUAAGCGUGUAGGCUGGUUUUCCAGGCAAAUCCGGAAAAUCAAGGCUGAGGCGUGAUGACGAGGCACUACGGUGCUGAAGCAACAAAUGCCCUGCUUCCAGGAAAAGCCUCUAAGCAUCAGGUAACAUCAAAUCGUACCCCAAACCGACACAGGUGGUCAGGUAGAGAAUACCAAGGCGCUUGAGAGAACUCGGGUGAAGGAACUAGGCAAAAUGGUGCCGUAACUUCGGGAGAAGGCACGCUGAUAUGUAGGUGAAGCGACUUGCUCGUGGAGCUGAAAUCAGUCGAAGAUACCAGCUGGCUGCAACUGUUUAUUAAAAACACAGCACUGUGCAAACACGAAAGUGGACGUAUACGGUGUGACGCCUGCCCGGUGCCGGAAGGUUAAUUGAUGGGGUCAGCGCAAGCGAAGCUCUUGAUCGAAGCCCCGGUAAACGGCGGCCGUAACUAUAACGGUCCUAAGGUAGCGAAAUUCCUUGUCGGGUAAGUUCCGACCUGCACGAAUGGCGUAAUGAUGGCCAGGCUGUCUCCACCCGAGACUCAGUGAAAUUGAACUCGCUGUGAAGAUGCAGUGUACCCGCGGCAAGACGGAAAGACCCCGUGAACCUUUACUAUAGCUUGACACUGAACAUUGAGCCUUGAUGUGUAGGAUAGGUGGGAGGCUUUGAAGUGUGGACGCCAGUCUGCAUGGAGCCGGCCUUGAAAUACCACCCUUUAAUGUUUGAUGUUCUAACGUUGACCCGUGAUCCGGGUUGCGGACAGUGUCUGGUGGGUAGUUUGACUGGGGCGGUCUCCUCCUAAAGAGUAACGGAGGAGCACGAAGGUUGGCUAAUCCUGGUCGGACAUCAGGAGGUUAGUGCAAUGGCAUAAGCCAGCUUGACUGCGAGCGUGACGGCGCGAGCAGGUGCGAAAGCAGGUCAUAGUGAUCCGGUGGUUCUGAAUGGAAGGGCCAUCGCUCAACGGAUAAAAGGUACUCCGGGGAUAACAGGCUGAUACCGCCCAAGAGUUCAUAUCGACGGCGGUGUUUGGCACCUCGAUGUCGGCUCAUCACAUCCUGGGGCUGAAGUAGGUCCCAAGGGUAUGGCUGUUCGCCAUUUAAAGUGGUACGCGAGCUGGGUUUAGAACGUCGUGAGACAGUUCGGUCCCUAUCUGCCGUGGGCGCUGGAGAACUGAGGGGGGCUGCUCCUAGUACGAGAGGACCGGAGUGGACGCAUCACUGGUGUUCGGGUUGUCAUGCCAAUGGCACUGCCCGGUAG